rnacentral:misc_RNA from 1 species
AAUCUCAACCCCACCCCUGGGUUUCUGAUCUGGGGGUGGACGUGGACUUGGGCGUCUGCCGUCGCUUGACUGGCUCGUCUCAAAAGACUUGGUGGGAUUAGCAUCCUCGGCCUGACGUAAUAAGUUUCGUUGGGCUAGGUGCGAGGCCUGCUCAUAUAACCCCCCUCGCCUGCUCUGGGCAUUAACACUUUUUGA